ACUUGUGCAUUCCAGAAUCUUUUAGGGCUAGGAGGCGCUCUCUGCCUUCACUUUCGGAAAAAACAAAGGACUGACAUAUGUUCUUCAGCUGCUACUAACGCACCAGCCCGGAAAAUCAGGGAAGGAUACAGAGGACCAUGGGUAAGAUUUUGCUUUCUUCAUGUGUGUGAAUUGCGUUUGUCUCCGAUAGACCGACACCGUUUGUUCGGUUGAAUGGCAUCGCAGGACUACCGUACUUACUAUCCGAUUACCCUUCCUAUGAGGAGACCUUAUUCAGGCGACCCUGAACUUCUUGAUAAGGCAGAAUUUGGAUAAGGAAUAGGAUGAGGGAACUAUUAAUCCUGCUAAAGAUCUCGGCCUAUUGGAUGAAGCUGAGAAAGAAAAGAUGUUUUUCUUUUAGCUUCCUGUUAAUCUCCCUUUACCUAAGCAAUCGGCUAGCAGAAAGGGAAAAGAGAAAGUUGAGAAGUCGGUCUCAUUGGAAAGGGCGGUUGGUUUAACGAAAGGCCAGCAGUUGGAGGAAUUGCCGGCGGGACACGUGGGGAAAAUGCUGGUUUACAAGGGCGGAGCAGUCAAGUUGAAGCUGGGAGAAACACUGUUCGAUGUAAGUCAUAAUUGCCCCUUGCUUGUUACUUGCACAAACAUACCUGUAACUGUUAGAUAUAUUCGUUUGAGACAUUGCAAACAUCGGACAUGAACCUAAAAAACUUUGAUCCACCCAACUCAACGAUCUGAACUCGUUCAAAAUGAACAAGAAAUGACUCAAACUCGAACCAAUCUGAAUUCAAAAUGGUUAGGAAAGGUAACCUGAAAUGAUCCAAACCAG